rnacentral:rRNA from 1 species
AUUGAACGCUGGCGGAAUGCUUUACACAUGCAAGUCGAACGGCAGCACGGGGGCAACCCUGGUGGCGAGUGGCGAACGGGUGAGUAAUACAUCGGAACGUGCCCAGUCGUGGGGGAUAACGUAGCGAAAGCUACGCUAAUACCGCAUACGAACUCUGGUUGAAAGCGGGGGAUCGCAAGACCUCGCGCGAUUGGAGCGGCCGAUGGCAGAUUAGGUAGUUGGUGGGGUAAAGGCCUACCAAGCCGACGAUCUGUAGCUGGUCUGAGAGGACGACCAGCCACACUGGGACUGAGACACGGCCCAGACUCCUACGGGAGGCAGCAGUGGGGAAUUUUGGACAAUGGGCGCAAGCCUGAUCCAGCCAUUCCGCGUGCAGGAUGAAGGCCCUCGGGUUGUAAACUGCUUUUGUACGGAACGAAACGGUCCUGGUUAAUACCUGGGGCUAAUGACGGUACCGUAAGAAUAAGCACCGGCUAACUACGUGCCAGCCGCCGCGGUAAGAC